rnacentral:snRNA from 1 species
AUCGCUUCUCGGCCUUUUGGCUAAGAUCAAGUGUAGUAAAUAUUUACUUACUUUAUCCCAUAUCUGAUAAUUACAAGAACUGUAGUCUUUGAGGAUUCAAUUUCACAAUUUUUUUUACUUAUGAUUCUCAUAUUAGCUUGUUUAAUUGUGAUAGUCAGCCUUGACUGAACCCUCA